rnacentral:tRNA from 1 species
UUUAUUAUAAUAUAAUUAAUAUGUUGGUUUGAUAAACCAAAGAAACUCUAUUAAGC